rnacentral:rRNA from 1 species
GAUGAACGCUGGCGGCGUGCCUAAUACAUGCAAGUCGAGCGAACAGAUAAGGAGCUUGCUCCUUUGACGUUAGCGGCGGACGGGUGAGUAACACGUGGGUAACCUACCUAUAAGACUGGAAUAACUCCGGGAAACCGGGGCUAAUGCCGGAUAACAUUUAGAACCGCAUGGUUCUAAAGUGAAAGAUGGUUUUGCUAUCACUUAUAGAUGGACCCGCGCCGUAUUAGCUAGUUGGUAAGGUAACGGCUUACCAAGGCAACGAUACGUAGCCGACCUGUGAGGGUGAUCGGCCACACUGGAGCUGGGCCACGGUCCAGACUCCUACGGGAGGCAGCAGUAGGGAAUCUGCCGCAAUGGGCGAAAGCCUGACGGAGCAACGCCGCGUGAGUGAUGAAGGUCUUCGGAUCGUAAAACUCUGUUAUUAGGGAAGAACAAAUGUGUAAGUAACUGUGCACGUCUUGACGGUACCUAAUCAGAAAGCCACGGCUAACUACGUG